UCCUGACUGCUCAUUGCUUUGAUCCUGGUAUCACGACCAAAUGAAACAGGAUGAGAAGUAAAAGGUAAGACCAGAAUCUAAGGUAUAAGGAUUAAAGAUGAAAGCUUAAGGACUAAAAGCAGGAUCCACAUGAUGUUCAGGAUCAAAGUUAAAAAGCAGGACGUGGA